GCGGUCAGAGAAAAUGGUACAACUCCACAUCUUUUUCACUACAUUUGCUCUUACUGAUACAGAAGAUUGCUAUGAAUGGGUGAUUGAUGACAAGCCGAAAUCAAGAUUUAACACUAGUCAGGUUUAUAAGAAACUAAGGGGUCAGGAAGCAACAGUACCAUGGGCUCAAAGCGUUUGGAUUACAGGAGGCAUCCCUCGACAUAGUUUUCUCACUUGGCUGUUCGUCUUGAAUCGAUGCCCUACCAGAGACCGCCUCCGGAGCUGGGGUCUCCAGACGGAUGUUGUUUGCCUGCUCUGCAACCAGGAGCCUGAAACUAGAGAUCACUUAUACUUUCACUGCCCCUUCAGCUUUGCAAUAUGGGAGGAAAUUGGGAGGAGAUGUGACCUGCAACCGCUCCAGAACUGGGAUCAGACCAUGAUUCAAAUGCAAUCUCUUCAAGGAAACAAAUACAAGAAACGACUUACCCUUCUCUGUUGGCAAUCAUCGAUUUAUUGGAUUUGGCAGGAGAGGAAUAAGAGGCUUCACAACCAACAAUUUCGAUCACCAGAAGCUAUUAUUUCUCUCAUCACUCGUCAAAUUACGGAUCGGAUCUCUGCUUAUCGAUUGGACUCUCCUGCGAUCUCUUCGAUCAUCAUGCAACUUU
rnacentral:lncRNA from 1 species